GAUGAACGCUGGCGGCGUGCUUAACACAUGCAAGUCGAACGGUGAAGGCGGAGCUUGCUCUGCUGGAUCAGUGGCGAACGGGUGAGUAACACGUGAGCAAUCUGCCCCUGACUCUGGGAUAAGCGCUGGAAACGGCGUCUAAUACUGGAUACGAGCUUCCACCGCAUGGUGAGUUGUUGGAAAGAUUUUCGGUUCAAGGAUGGGCUCGCGGCCUAUCAGCUAGUUGGUGAGGUAACGGCUCACCAAGGCUUCGACGGGUAGCCGGCCUGAGAGGGCGACCGGCCACACUGGGACUGAGAUACGGCCCAGACUCCUACGGGAGGCAGCAGUGGGGAAUAUUGCACAAUGGGCGAAAGCCUGAUGCAGCAACGCCGCGUGCGGGAUGACGG
rnacentral:rRNA from 1 species